UACGUAGGGGGCGAGCGUUGUCCGGAGUUACUGGGCGUAAAGCGCACGCAGGCGGUCUGCUAAGUUUGGAGUGACAGUUGGUGGCUCAACCACCAAAGUGCUUUGAAAACUGACAGACUUGAGGGCUUCAGAGGGACACGGAAUUCCGGGUGGAGUGGUGAAAUGCGUAGAGAUCCGGAGGAACACCGAAGGCGAAGGCAGUGUCCUGGGGAGUACCUGACGCUCAGGUGCGAAAGCCAGGGGAGCAAACGGG
rnacentral:rRNA from 1 species